GCACCACUCCGGGACAGCCUUUUCUUUUUAUGUGGUACUAAGGAAUCAAAUCUAGGGCUUCACACAUGGUAGGCAAACACUCUACCACUAAGCCACAUUCCCAGCCCCAUGAUAUUUCUAGAUUCACCUGACAUGAAAUUCUGUCUCCACCAAGAUAGUAUCCUCAGUAAAAUGGC